rnacentral:rRNA from 1 species
CCUACGGGAGACUGCAGUGAGGAAUAUUGGUCAAUGGACGAGAGUCUGAACCAGCCAAGUAGCGUGAAGGAUGACUGCCCUAUGGGUUGUAAACUUCUUUUAUAAAGGAGUAAAUCGAGUCACGUGUGCCUUUUUGCAUGUACUUUAUGAAUAAGGAUCGGCUAACUCCGUGCCAGCAGCCGCGGUAAUACGGUGGAUCCGAGCGUUAUGCGGAUUUAUUGGGUUUAAAGGGAGCGUAGAUGGGUUGUUAAGUCAGUUGUGAAAGUGCGCGGCUCAACCGUAAAAUUGCAAUUGAUACUGGCAGGCUGGAGUACAGUUGAGGUAGGUGGAAUUCGUGGUGUAGCGGUGAAAUGCUUAGAGAUCACGAAGAACCCCGAUGGCGAAGGCAGCUUACUAAACGGUGACUGACAUUGAUGCGCGAAAGUGUGGGUAUCAAACAGGAGUAGAUACCCGAGUAGUC